GACGAACGCUGGCGGCGCGCUUAACACAUGCAAGUCGAGCGGUAAGGCCCUUUCGGGGGUACACGAGCGGCGAACGGGUGAGUAACACGUGGGUGACCUGCCCUCAGCUCUGGGAUAAGCCUGGGGAAACCGGGUCUAAUACUGGAUAUGACUCCAUGACGCAUGUUGGUGGGGUAGGAAAGCCUUGUGCGGCUGAGGAUCGGGCCCACGGCCUAUCAGCUUGUUGGUGGGGUGANGGCCUACCAAGGCGACGACGGGUAGCCGGCCUGAGA
rnacentral:rRNA from 1 species